UACGUAGGGUGCGAGCGUUAAUCGGAAUUACUGGGCGUAAAGCGUGCGCAGGCGGUUUUGUAAGCCAGAUGUGAAAUCCCCGGGCUUAACCUGGGAAUGGCAUUUGGGACUGCAAGGCUGGAGUGUGGCAGAGGAGACUGGAAUUCCCGGUGUAGCAGUGAAAUGCGUAGAUAUCGGGAGGAAUACCGAUGGCGAAGGCAGGUCUCUGGGCUGACACUGGCGCUCAUGCACGAAAGCGUGGGGAGCAAACAGG
rnacentral:rRNA from 1 species